CUUUCUAGACAGGAAAAGCUCCGGGCGCAGCCAAUCGGGGUACAGCUGCCAGCAUCUGGGGCAUCUGGCUGCCGCUGUCGGGCAAUGGAGACCUUCCCAGACAGGCUGCGGGAACCGCUGGGGCUGUAGCCGCCUCUCUCUCUCUCCUUUUGGCCGGUUGGAGCCACAGGCAGAUCCAGCUUCCAGGAGAACGGCCGCCGCAGCAUGGGCAUUCAGCUGGCCAGCACAUAAUGCUCCCAUGUGCCUCCACCUGGCCUGUCCCCGCGGAGCGCCUUCCCUGCCCUGACUCCCUCGGCCAUGCGCGAGAGGAGCCUUCCUGCUUGACGGAUCUACAAUGUGACCUCUCGCAGCACCAUGGAGUCCUUCGUGGUGGUAGCGGAGUGCGACUCUCCUCCCAGUUCCACGCCGGGCCAGCCGGAGGGCCUGGUGGAGGAGGAACCCAUGGAGCCGUGUGAAGAGCAGGCCCUCCUGGCCCCAGGCCCUGGAGAUCUUGGAGAACCAGGCCUGGCCAUCCCUUCGGGGACAUCCUCCAGAGAGACCAGGGAACCUUGGAUCAAAGUCAACUUUUCAAGUCGCAAGCUGUCUCUGCAAGAGAGAUCUCCCUCCGUUCAGUCCCCCAGCGGGAACCUGGGGGUCAACGGGCGCUACAUCUAUCCUUCCCUCCCUUACUCCCCCGUCACCUCCCCACACUCCUCCCCGCGGCUGCCCCGGAGGCCCACCAUUGAGUCCCACAGGGUGUCGAUCACGGGGUUGCAGGAUUGCGUGCAGCUCAAUCAAUACACUCUGAAGGAUGAAAUUGGAAAGGGCUCCUACGGUGUUGUGAAGCUGGCGUACAAUGAAGACGACAACACUUACUAUGCAAUGAAAGUGCUUUCGAAGAAGAAGUUGAUGAGACAAGCCGGCUUCCCACGCCGCCCUCCUCCUCGCGGUGCCAAACUGCCCUUGGAAGGUUUCUGCCAACCUAGAGGACCCAUUGAGCAGGUCUACCAAGAGAUCGCCAUCUUGAAGAAGCUGGACCACCCAAACAUUGUGAAGCUGGUGGAGGUACUGGAUGACCCCACCGAAGAUCACUUAUACAUGGUGUUUGAGCUUGUGAAAAAAGGGCCUGUGAUGGAGGUUCCCAAUUUGAAACCUCUAACUGAAGAUCAGGCACGAUUCUAUUUCCAAGACCUGAUCAAAGGCAUUGAAUAUUUACACUACCAAAAAAUUAUCCAUCGGGAUAUUAAACCUUCCAACCUCUUGGUGGGAGAAGAUGGCCACAUCAAGAUUGCCGAUUUUGGCGUGAGCAACGAAUUCAAAGGAUCGGACGCCCUCUUAACCAACACGGUGGGCACUCCAGCAUUUAUGGCUCCCGAGACCCUCUCGGAAACCAGGAAAAUAUUUUCAGGAAAGGCUUUAGAUGUCUGGGCAAUGGGAAUCACGCUGUACUGUUUCGUCUUCGGACAGUGUCCUUUUAUGGAUGAACGAAUCCUCAGUCUGCACAGCAAAAUCAAGAGCCAAACGCUGGAAUUUCCGGACCAACCAGACAUUCCCGACGAACUGAAGGAUCUAAUAACCCAGAUGCUGGAUAAAAAACCCGAAUCCAGGAUCACCAUCCCAGAAAUUAAGCUGCAUCCGUGGGUCACCAAGAAUGGCACCGAACCGCUGCCGACCGAAGAUGAAAAUUGCACGCUGAUCGAGGUGACCGAAGAAGAGGUGGAGAAUUCAGUCAAGCACAUCCCCAGCUUAGCCACCGUGGUGAGUGGACUUUGGAUAUCCCGUCCUGCGGUUGAUGCGCUGCCAGCCUUUCAGGAGUGUCGAUCCGACGUCUUUCAAAUCGGCUCCGAUUUCGAUCCUGGUAAAAUCCAUGAUCAGGAAAAGAUCUUUUGGGAAUCCAUUUGAGGGGAGUAGAAGAGAGGAAAGAUUUCUGUCUGCACCAGACCGACAGACUUACUUGAUAAAGCAAAGCAGCGAAGAGGCUUUCCGCGCUGCCAACGAUCUGCCAAACCUGAGCGAAGACGACCUGCUUUCUUGAAGGAAAAAAACAAAAAAAAGACCCACACCCUUGCCCUUCCUGGAAAGGCGGGGGGCUCCUGGCUUGCUCGCCACUCGGGGUCUGUGAGAAGAGGGCGCCCUGCAGACGGUUGGGCCGGCUUGCCUUCCCCGACGUUGGUUCAUUGUUUAAAUAACCGAAUGUAAAGGUUUUUGUGACAGCAUGCUGUACAGAUCAGAACCCAUUCCCUCACCAUCCAAAAAAGAUCUCUGCCGAUUUAAAAACAGGAUGUGAGAAGCGAGGAGGAUUAUCUUCAGGCUCGCUGGCGGUCAUCCCCCCCAGUUGGGAAGUAUUGUGCUGAAUUUCCGGGGGGGGAAAAAAGGGCAAAGCAAAGAAACUCACCAAAAAUAAAACUGAGUUUGGAAAGAAA